rnacentral:piRNA from 1 species
UGGUCUGCACACUUUCAGAGUAACAAAAACU